rnacentral:rRNA from 1 species
UACAGAGGGGGCAAGCGUUGUUCGGAAUUACUGGGCGUAAAGGGCGCGUAGGCGGCCGCCUAAGUCAGACGUGAAAUCCCUCGGCUCAACCGGGGAACUGCGUCUGAUACUGGGUGGCUUGAAUUCGGGAGAGGGAUGCGGAAUUCCAGGUGUAGCGGUGAAAUGCGUAGAUAUCUGGAGGAACACCGGUGGCGAAGGCGACAUCCUGGACCGGUAUUGACGCUGAGGCGCGAAAGCCAGGGGAGCAAAGCGGG